rnacentral:rRNA from 1 species
GAUGAAGGGCGUGCUAAUCUGCGAUAAGCGCCGGUAAGGUGAUAUGAACCGUUAUAACCGGCGAUACCCGAAUGGGGAAACCCAGUGUGACUCGUCACACUAUCAUUAACUGAAUCCAUAGGUUAAUGAGGCGAACCGGGGGAACUGAAACAUCUAAGUACCCCGAGGAAAAGAAAUCAACCGAGAUUCCCCCAGUAGCGGCGAGCGAACGGGGAGGAGCCCAGAGCCUGAAUCAGCAUGUGUGUUAGUGGAAGCGUCUGGAAAGGCGCGCGAUACAGGGUGACAGCCCCGUACACAAAAGCGCAUGUGCUGUGAGCUCGAUGAGUAGGGCGGGACACGUGGUAUCCUGUCUGAAUAUGGGGGGACCAUCCUCCAAGGCUAAAUACUCCUGACUGACCGAUAGUGAACCAGUACCGUGAGGGAAAGGCGAAAAGAACCCCGGCGAGGGGAGUGAAAAAGAACCUGAAACCGUGUACGUACAAGCAGUGGGAGCCCCACCACCAAAGCAUUUGCUGUACCGCGUUGACGGAGCGAAGCGACGUCAAACCGAUAAAACAGCAGUGUAAAGUGAGCCGCAGGGCGCUUUGCGCGACAGCGCAAAGGCAGGCGGUUUCGCGUAGCGAAAGCGAAUGCUUUGGGGUGGGGUGACUGCGUACCUUUUGUAUAAUGGGUCAGCGACUUAUAUUCUGUAGCAAGGUUAACCGAAUAGGGGAGCCGGAGGGAAACCGAGUCUUAAUUGGGCGUUAAGUUGCAGGGUAUAGACCCGAAACCCGGUGAUCUAGCCAUGGGCAGGUUGAAGGUUGGGUAACACUAACUGGAGGACCGAACCGACUAAUGUUGAAAAAUUAGCGGAUGACCUGUGGCUGGGGGUGAAAGGCCAAUCAAACCGGGAGAUAGCUGGUUCUCCCCGAAAGCUAUUUAGGUAGCGCCUCGUGAAUUCAUCUCCGGGGGUAGAGCACUGUUUCGGCUAGGGGGCCAUCCCGGCUUACCAACCCGAUGCAAACUGCGAAUACCGGAGAAUGUUAUCACGGGAGACACACGGCGGGUGCUAACGUCCGUCGUGAAGAGGGAAACAACCCAGACCGCCAGCUAAGGUCCCAAAGUCAUGGUUAAGUGGGAAACGAUGUGGGAAGGCCCAGACAGCCAGGAUGUUGGCUUAGAAGCAGCCAUCAUUUAAAGAAAGCGUAAUAGCUCACUGGUCGAGUCGGCCUGCGCGGAAGAUGUAACGGGGCUAAACCAUGCACCGAAGCUGCGGCAGCGACACUGUGUGUUGUUGGGUAGGGGAGCGUUCUGUAAGCCUGUGAAGGUGUGUCGUGAGGCAUGCUGGAGGUAUCAGAAGUGCGAAUGCUGACAUAAGUAACGAUAAAGCGGGUGAAAAGCCCGCUCGCCGGAAGACCAAGGGUUCCUGUCCAACGUUAAUCGGGGCAGGGUGAGUCGACCCCUAAGGCGAGGCCGAAAGGCGUAGUCGAUGGGAAACGGGUUAAUAUUCCCGUACUUGGUGUUACUGCGAAGGGGGGACGGAGAAGGCUAUGUUGGCCGGG